AUGCCCAAUGGCCAAACAAUAAAGUGUCACCAGCCAGAGGCCUAUAAAUAUCUGGGCAUAUUACAGCUGGACAACAUCAAGCAUGAACAUGUGAAGAUUGUGGUCAGUAAAGAAUACACACAAAGGGUCAGAAAAAUUCUCAAAAGCAAGCUCAAUGGAGGCAACACCAUCAAGGCCAUAAACACCUGGGCCAUACCUGUCAUAAGAUAUACUGCUGGCAUUAUAAAUUGGACACAGGCGGAACUGGACAAUUUGGACAGAAAAACAAGAAAACUCAUGACCAUUCAUCAUUCACUGCACCCUCGCAGUGAUGUUGACCGGCUGUAUCUGCCUAGAAGAUCAGGGGGCAGAGGACUCUUACAAGUAAAACAAGCAGUCAAAGAAGAAGAACAUGCCCUGGCAGAAUAUGUCAAGCAAAGUGAAGAACCUGCUUUGAUUGAAGUCAAAAAUCAGAAACUCCUCAAAGCACAGCAGACAAAAAACCAGUACAAGAAAACCGCACUACAAACUAGAGCUGCCAGCUGGCACAACAAAACACUGCAUGGAAAGUUCCUUGACAAAAUUGAAGGAAAAGCUGAUAAAGAGAAGACCUGGCUCUGGCUCACGAAUGGGACCCUGAAGAAGGAGACAGAAGGCCUGAUCCUUGCAGCCCAGGAGCAAGCCAUCAGAACAAAUGCAAUCAAGGCCAAGAUCGAAAAAUCAGCUGAUAACCCAAAGUGCAGACUGUGCAAGGAAACCGAUGAAACCAUUGAUCAUAUCCUCAGCUGCUGUAAGAAAAUUGCACAGACAGACUACAAACAGAGGCACAACUAUGUGGCCCAAAUGAUUCAUUGGAACCUAUGCCUCAAGUAUCACCUCCCUGCAGUUAAGAACUGGUGGGAUCACAAACCUGCAAAGGUUGUGGAAAAUGAACACGCAAAGAUACUGUGGGACUUCCGAAUCCAGACUGACAAAGUUCUGGAACACAACACACCAGACAUCACAGUUGUGGAAAAGAACAAGGUUUGGAUCAUUGAUGUUGCCAUCCCAGGUGACAGUCGCAUUGAAGAAAAACAACAGGAAAAACUCAGCCGCUAUCAGGACCUCAAGAUUGAACUUCAAAGACUCUGGCAGAAACCAGUGCAGGUGGUCCCGGUGGUGAUGGGCACACUGGGUGCCGUGCCAAAAGAUCUCAGCCGGCACUUGGAAACAAUAGACAUUGACAAAAUUACGAUCUGCCAACUGCAAAAGGCCACCUUACUGGGAUCUGCACGCAUCAUCCGAAAAUACAUCACACAGUCCUAG
rnacentral:lncRNA from 1 species